AGGAAUCAAGAGUGAUGUCAGGACAAGCUCUGGUAUGUUUUUGACUCCUGAAGAAAGAAAAUACCCUACGAUACAUCUUUCUAUAUGGAUGGCUGGCGUGGAACAACAGCUACUACAAGUAUUUUCAUUGCUGCUUCGGUUACAGAUUGUCUUGAUGGCUAUAUUGCUCGCAAGAUGAAGUUAAAAUAUUCAUUUGGUGCGUUCUUAGAUCCCGUAGCUGACAAGCUUAUGGUUGCUGCAACAUUGGUUUUAUUAUGUACUAGACCUUUGUCUGUUGAUGUUUUUGGACAAGCACCCUAGCUACUGACUCUCCCUUCAAUUGCCAUAAUUGGUAGAGGUAAUGCUACUUAACUUAUUGCAUCUUUGAUUUCUAUGACAUGCAAUACCUUCAAGGUAUUGCUCACAGGGAACCUUACAAAGGGUCGCACAUCAU